rnacentral:rRNA from 1 species
GCCCGCGGCCUAUCAGCUAGUUGGUGAGGUAAAGGCUCACCAAGGCGUCGACGGGUAGCCGGCCUGAGAGGGUGACCGGCCACACUGGGACUGAGACACGGCCCAGACUCCUACGGGAGGCAGCAGUGGGGAAUAUUGCACAAUGGGCGCAAGCCUGAUGCAGCAACGCCGCGUGAGGGACGACGGCCUUCGGGUUGUAAACCUCUUUUAGCAGGGAAGAAGCGAAAGUGACGGUACCUGCAGAAAAAGCACCGGCUAACUACGUGCCAGCAGCCGCGGUAAUACGUAGGGUGCAAGCGUUAUCCGGAAUUAUUGGGCGUAAAGAGCUCGUAGGCGGUUUGUCGCGUCUGCUGUGAAACCCCGAGGCUCAACCUCGGGCCUGCAGUGGGUACGGGCAGACUAGAGUGCGGUAGGGGAGAUUGGAAUUCCUGGUGUAGCGGCGGAAUGCGCAGAUAUCGGGAGGAACACCGAUGGCGAAGGCAGAUCUCUGGGCCGUAACUGACGCUGAGGAGCGAAAGCGUGGGGAGCGAACAGGAUUAGAUACCCUGGUAGUCCACGCCGUAAACGUUGGGAACUAGAUGUGGGGGCCAUUCCACGGCUUCCGUGUCGCAGCUAACGCAUUAAGUUCCCCGCCUGGGGAGUACGGCCGCAAGGCUAAAACUCAAAGGAAUUGACGGGGACCCGCACAAGCGGCGGAGCAUGCGGAUUAAUUCGAUGCAACGCGAAGAACCUUACCAAGGCUUGACAUAUACGAGAACGCUGCAGAAAUGUAGAACUCUUUGGACACUCGUAUACAGGUGGUGCAUGGUUGUCGUCAGCUCGUGUCGUGAGAUGUUGGGUUAAGUCCCGCAACGAGCGCAACCCUCGUUCUAUGUUGCCAGCACGUUAUGGUGGGAACUCAUAGGAGACUGCCAGGGUCAACUCGGAGGAAGGUGGGGAUGACGUCAAAUCAUCAUGCCCCUUAUGUCUUGGGCUUCACGCAUGCUACAAUGGCCGGUACAAAGGGCUGCAAUACCGCAAGGUGGAGCGAAUCCCAAAAAGCCGGUCUCAGUUCGGAUUGAGGUCUGCAACUCGACCUCAUGAAGUCGGAGUCGCUAGUAAUCGUGGAUCAGCAACGCCACGGUGAAUACGUUCCCGGGCCUUGUACACACCG